rnacentral:lncRNA from 1 species
GACUCUCCUGCCGCGGGGCUGGGCAUCGUCUCCCCCUCGGUGAAGGCACACACCGGGGGAAGCGCCAACCUCAUGAACUUCUACGCCACGAGCUACGCGGUGGCCUAUGGCCAGCCACGUUUCCGUCCCCGCCUUGGCCACCACACCGGCAGCGGCUACGUGUCCAACAACCACUCGGCCAUCUCCUGCCUGCUCUGCCCGCGCGGUGCAGCAGAGGGCCACUGCCAGGACACCGCCACGUCCACCACCACUGAGCACUUCAAGCCCUUUUGGCUCCCUGACGGCCGGAUCCUGCUGCCCCGGCAUGUCCACCAGCCGGAGAGCGGGUACCUCCAAGAGUCCUCCCUUUCCUGCCCCCACACCGGGGGGGGUGAGUCCCCAGCACACGUGGCUCCUCCAGGGCCCCCCCAGAGCAUCCAGGGAGCACGGCACAGAGAGCCGCCGCGCCAGUCCUGCCCAGCCAGAUGUCUUGCAGAAGACGACCAUCGGUGCCAAGGAGCAGUCGGGCUUCACCAGGGCCACCCCGAGGAGCGACAGCAUCCUGCCAGUCCUGCCAGCCCAGCCCCUCGGCGUUAGCAUCACCACAACGGAUUACCUGCCCUCUGUGCGCAGCCACGGCGGCGAGACACUCCUGGCACUGCCGGCGUGCUCCGAGAGAGGCAACGGGUUCAGCCGGGAGGUGCCAGGCUGCCUGGGCACGGCGGUGAGCAGGACCCCAUCCCACUGCCCGGCCCCAUGUGCCCUCCCUGUCCUCAUCCACUAUCCCCACGCAGGGCUUGCCCGUGGUGGGCCACCCCAUCCCACCCGUCUCCCGAGGGCUGCAGGCACCCCGAGUGACCCAGGCCAGCCCUCUGGGACAGCAGGGUGCCGGCAGGAAGGUGGGUGCAGGCAGGGCCUCGUCCCCAUCCCUGCAGGACCAUGCACCCAACCCACCUCCAUCCCCCCAGGAGCCGUUGGGGUUCACCAUUAACCACGGCCAGUAUGUGACCCCCCACCCGACCCCGUCCCCCACAGUGCCAGGUGAGUUUGGGGUGACCCUAGGGGGGUAAGGGGGGGGGGGCUCCAGCCUCACCAUCCUGUCCCUCCUGGAUUUUCCAGCCUGGUGUUGGCAGGGUCCGACCUGGAUGGUGAGACCCAUGGGGGGCAUCCAGCCCCAGCGCCCCAGCGGCUUCAGCACGAACAACCACCCCACCGGGCUGGGGGACAUCACUGGCCACCUCCCAGUGUGGCCCCCCCGGGAGUGCCAGCCUCAGCGGUAGCUCCCAGUUCUUUGGGCCCCCCCCAGUCCCUGGGAGCACAUGGAGAAAUAAAGACCCCACACAGUCUUCC